GGGCCCUGCACCCAAAGCUCCGGGGAUGCACAGAAAGAACGUAGGGAGGAAAGGAGAGUGGCCAGGGGGCCGGCAGCGAUGAGGGAGGGGACGCUUCCGCAGGAACUGCCUCCUGGCCCACAGCAGCAGAGACUCCAGCCAUCACACACAUGCUCCACACCUGACUGCGAGGAAGAGAUGGAGAAUAGCUGCUCCUCCCUUCCAGAUCUGCCCAGGAAUUCCAGUGGCCCCCUGCUCACCACUUAGUCCUGUACCCCCCCUGGGAUGUGUAGGAGCCCGGGAGAAAAAGCCUUUUUAGAUGCCCAGGCCAGCGAGUUCCUGGUCUCUUAGAGAAAAGGAAGAAAGACAUGCAUCAAGCUAAAGAAGUAAACAGCUCAUGGCACGUUUAACAAAAAGAUGACAGGCGGAUACAAAAGCUAUCCAGCAUCUUUGGGCAGCCAUUGAGAUUAUACGGAACCAGAAGCAAAUUGCCAACAUUGACCGUAUUACCAAAUUUCCAAUCAAGAUGUAAAGGGUGAAGAAUCAAAGAACAAAGAAUCAGUAACAAGUGAAAUUUAAGCCUUCAGUCAUGCAGAUUCCUAAUAUGAUGCAUAACUCAUUGUCAUGUUAUUUCUCUAAAUGCCAUGUAUAGUUUAAUGUCCAAUAAAAUCAAGUUACAUAUA